rnacentral:lncRNA from 1 species
AUGGCUCCAUCUCCCAGGACAAGCAGUAGAAAAGAUGCCAACGCCUUGCCAAGCAUGUCCUCAACUUUCUGGGCAAUCAUGAUCCUGGCUAGUCUUCUAAUCGCCUACUGCACUGUUUGGGUUUCAGUUGCUACUGUGCAAGCUCAAGUGACCGUCCAUAUCCUGUAUUAUACAAAAAGAAAAAAAAACUGGAGCAAGGCUUGUGUUCCAAGCACUUCAAGGUAUGGCCUGUUUCAACUACCCUUUGACAUUCACAACACCUUCUUGAAAGGAUAUUAUUUUAAUAAAAAAGGUGUGUGUGUGUGGGGGGGGGUUUCAAGCUUGCCCUCCUUAGCCAUUAGUUUUAAAUAUUUAAAUUAAUGCAAUCAAUUUCCCAGCACCUGCUCAGCUAAUUGAUCAGGCCUGAUUCUCUACUGCUUUGCACUUUGUGUUGUCAUUUACAUCCAAGCAAAGCAACUGAAAAAUGCUACCAGAUCUGGAUGGUAGCAUGACACCACUUUGCAUAGGUGAAUAUGACAAGACAAGGUGCAAGGUGGCUGAAAAUCAGGCAAAUUGACAUCAGGGGACUUACUCCACAAGGCUGCCAAGUGUUUCACAUCUUGCAUGAUAUUCAUGCAUUUAUCAGGACUGUCAAGCCUGCCUGCUGCUGAAUGUCACUCCUCCAGAGGUGGGCAGAAGCUGCAGUUCUUCCAGCUGAUCACUAGAUGUCCUUCUUGAACCUGGGUUCAGGUAGCCUGUAGGCCUCUCUUCUGCUGACUCCCCCUACUGGCUCUGGAUGGGGAAAGAAGUGGCAGGAAUGAAAGCAGCAGCAGGGGGCAUGGCUGGCAGAGACAAAAGCUGAGGCAGAUUGUUACUAGUUUAGCCUCCUUCAGCUACAGCCCCAGAGAGACCACCCACUCCUAGAUACCACAGACCCUCAAAGAUAUUACAGCCCCGCAGAGAGACUGCAGGCAGAUCCUAGCUACCAGUUCCCCCAACCCCAGCGUUCCAAGACGUCCCAGUCCCCAGCCAACCCAGACAGCAUUCAUAUCCCAGCAACCUCUAGACACCGCCCACAUCCGUCAGCAACUCCAGACACCCAUGAGCACCUACUCUAGUGCUCUGACACAUCCCAUUACACUACCUGCCUCAAUCAUAGAUGCCAGGUUUCGAUCAAUUUCCUGUCCUGUCCUGUCCCCGCUGUUGCCGGCAGAAGGGUGUGUUGACUAGAAACUGAAGUUUCGGAUUAUUUGCCAAUAUAUAAAUGGCAUAAAAUGGUGUAUAUGGAUCUGGGCAAACCUUUGGCUAGAUUUACACCAUUGUAAGUCAAAGCAAAAUCUGUUCAUGAGUAAGGUAUUUUCAACCAAACUGCAAUCACAAC